CAGAGGGUGCGAGCGUUGUCCGGAAUCACUGGGCGUAAAGGGCGCGUAGGUGGCCCGACAAGUCAAUGGUGAAAGCUCGACGCUUAACGUCGAGUCGGCCACUGAUACUGUUGGGCUGGAGCACUGUAGAGGCUCAUGGAAUUCCGGGUGUAGCGGUGGAAUGCGUAGAGAUCCGGAAGAACACCGGUGGCGAAGGCGGUGAGCUGGGCAGUUGCUGACACUGAGGCGCGACAGCGUGGGGAGCAAACAGGAUUAGAUACCCUGGUAGUCCACGCCGUAAACGAUGGGCACUAGAUGCUUGGGGGAGCGACCCCCUGAGUGUCGACGCUAACGCAUUAAGUGCCCCGCCUGGGGAGUACGGCCGCAAGGCUG
rnacentral:rRNA from 1 species